UCUCCGUUGGUGAACCAGCGGAGGGAUCAUUACAGGACUCGCAAGACUCCCAGACCUCUGUGAACUUAACUAUAUGCACGUUGCCACGGAGGGUGUCUCGGAGGGGGUUCUGCCUUUACGAGAUGAGUAAUUAGCGGGCAGCCCCCUUUAAUCAGUCCCUUUAAGUCGGAAACUUGAGCAUAUUCAAACAUGUUAAAACUUUCAACAACGGAUCUCUUGGUUCUG
rnacentral:misc_RNA from 1 species